rnacentral:snRNA from 1 species
AGCUAGAGGUGUCAGAAA